UGUGGCAGACCUAGAUGCACUUUUUGGAUUACUAGUUAUUUAGGUAGAUAUCAAAGCUUCAGGUUGCAACAUGACUUUUCCCCUUUUAUUUUCUCUUUGACCUAAGGUCUGUUUGCUACAGGGAAAGGUACCUGAAGCCAAUUUUUCCAUAGGUGGGACCUUUAUCUGGCAAACACUACAGCAGCAAAGUUGAGCUACCUGACUUUCUGCAAGCAAGCAGUCUGCAGCGGAACUGGUUAUUUUAAAUGGUAUUGGGAGAUUGCUAUUGCAACUAGCCUGCAAGACCUGGUUUGAGACAACAAAGGCAAGGGGGAGUGGGCAUCAAAAGCAGCACCUUUUGUGGGGCAGGACAUUUCCACCAGAUCCAGAGGAACAGCACCACCAUCCUCAGAACAGCUUUACAUGUCUCUCCCUGGCCAGGCUUGACUGGAAAUGUCUCUAAGAUCUUCAGCCUUCUUCAGCAGUAUGAACUACCUGCAUGGUUGUGAAGUUUUUCACAGCUUGGAAAAAGUUGUGCAGUUUUCUAAGAUGCCCUGCAGCAGAGGCCAAGCUGUUAGGAGACCACUUUCAAACAUUAAACCUAAUGCUUCCUACCAGAAUUUAGGCUCUUUGCAUCCUCCUCUGACUCUCAUGGACCAAGAAACAAAAUUUUUCCUCUUCCCCUUUGCAGCUGCCUUUUUUGUUGUGCUUCCCUCAUGUUAGAUUAAACAGUCUGAUUUCACACACUCUUUCCUUGCUGAGCACAUUUUCCAGACCAUUGGCUACUCUCACUGCUCUCUCCUGGGCAUCCUCCAGCUUCUCCCCAUCUUGCAGGAAGUGCCUUGCCCAAAACCAGAUACACAGCUGUUCAUCUGAGGUUUAGCAAAUGCUGACAGGAGUGGAAUGAGUUCUGCAUGAGCCCUGUAGUUAAUGCUGCUGUUUGUAUAAUCUGGUAGAGUGUUAACUUUUCUAGCAAGAGCAGCAGAUUAACUCCUCCUACCUACAGAUUCAUUGUGACUCCCAGAUAGUUUUCCACAGAAGUAUUACUCAAAAAUUUGUCUGUCUAAGCACUGGGUGACAUUGCCUUCCUCUUGAGUAAUACUCUCUUAAAAAGAAAAGAAUAUUAGUUUGUCAUGAAAAUGUCAAGUGUUCCUGGUUUUCAGCACUGGCACUGACCGUACUUUUACCUCAGUCCCUGAAUUUCAGUUGGGUUUCUUCCUAGUUCAAUAUCCUAGUUGCUGGAAAUAUUGAUUUGGAAAAAAGAUACGGACUUAAUUCAAACUGUGUAUUUGUAGUACGGCUGGGCACUUUUCUGGCAUGUUUCUCCAGUUUUGUUCCCACACAAAUGUAUUUCAUCCAGUCUUGGUUUGCCUAAUUUAUUUAUAAAAAGAUCACAUCAGCCAAUAUCAGAAACAUAAUGAAAGACAAGAUUUAUGGCUUCUAUUGUUUAUUCACAAGCCUUUUACCUCAUUAUAACCUUCCAUAAAGGAAAUGGGAUUGGUUGGA